UGUUUAACGUAUGUUUUUCUUUUAAAGCGUUUAAUAAAAGCUUCCAUUGUCCCCUAUGCAGCAAGACAAACUGCCUCCCUGGCAACACCACCCGAAACCCACAUCCCAAUUCAUGUUGUGAAGCCAGAAGAGUAGUAAAGGGUAACCAGAAAGAAUGCCCUUCCAACUCUACCUGAUCUUCCCAGCACACCAGCAGAGGAAUGUACUUCUCCAAUGCAAGAGGGAUCUUUUAUUGUUGCACAAUGAUAGGUUGGAAU